CGGGAUUAAGGCCACCUUCUUAACGGUGAUUAAUACCGGAUAUGCACUGCUUCUCGCAUGGGUUGUGGUGGAAAGUUUUUCGGCCAGGGAUGUGCUCGCGGCCUAUCAGCUUGUUGGUGGGGUAAUGGCCUACCAAGGCAACGACGGGUAGCCGGCCUGAGAGGGUGACCGGCCACACUGGGACUGAGACACGGCCCAGACUCCUACGGGAGGCAGCAGUGGGGAAUAUUGGACAAUGGGCGAAAGCCUGAUGCAUCUACGCCGCGUGCGGGAAGAAGGCCCUAGGGUUGUAAACCGCUUUCAGCAGGGAAGAAACUGACGGUACCUGUAGAAGAAGCACCGUCCAACUACGUGCCAGCA
rnacentral:rRNA from 1 species